AGAUGUGCAACUGGUUGAGGUGCAGUUUCACCCUGAGCUUAGGCCUGCAGCUCUCACCUCACUGACCUCUCAUAGUGUGCAGUGAGGUGGACCCUGAGCCAAGUACAGGACAGGGGCAGGUUAAACAAUAACUUGGGAAAUGGAAAUGGAGGACUGCAUUUUAAUGGAACUGCAGGGUUUGAGGCCUCACCUCAAGUGCUGUAUUAGUUUUGGGCCUCUCACUAUGAAGACAUCAAGACAGUGAUGCAUGUCCAGAGAACAUUUUAACAGUGGUAUCCUAUCUACAGUCUUGCCUGGGUCAGGCUUUUUGCUUAUCUGUUGACACCCCCUCCAGAAAGGAAUGGAGUCAUUAGUUUUGCCCACCUGGCUAAUAGGGCAGCAGAACAGCUGGGCCUGCUGAGUCUGGAGAUUCCUUCCUGAUGUCUCUCCUGCUCAGUGUUACACAACUCAGCAGAAUCUUGAGUUUUUGGAUUGACUACGUGCUCUUGGUUUGAUUGUCUCCUUCCAGCUUGGGAAGACCUGAAAAUCAUAGCAGUUAACUAUUCUGUCAAAGGUACAUGUCUUAGCUUUAAGGCCUUCCCUUCACACUUGCACAGUUUCAUCAGCUCUCCUAGUAUUCGCAUUAUGGUCUGUUUAGUCCAGACCCCAUUAGUCUUAUCUGAGAAAAAACUGCAUAUCUAGAGGAAAAAAAAUUCAUCUCUUCAGUACUUCAAGGCACAUACAUAUGUAAAGAAGCCUGACAGCAAAUGGUGAGUAUUUUGGGAGCGAAAGCAAAAGGCGA